CAGCAUAUUGGGGGUACUUUGCCAACACAUAUUGCUCAACAUAUUGCAUUUCUGUUGGAGUUAUGGGACCUGACCAUCUAAGGUCAAGACCGCGGAUUGUUGAUAUGGCUUCUGCUACAAUAUGUGCAGGAAUUACGACAUGAAUAUCUGUUGCUGAAGCAAUCUAAGCAUAUUCAAGGGGAGCUGCUGCUACUGCAAUAUUGAAGGAUUUCUUCCUGACGAGAAGGCAAGUGAUGUUGGAAGGUUGGCACUGGACGUGUGCAUUGUCAAGACUGCACAACACAAAAUCAGCCCAAAAAUCAGCCCAGAAAUACCCAAGAUUCAACUGGUCCUUCCCCACCAAAAUACCAGUUGCAUCUAGCAGAACAUGCCAUGAGCACUUCCGGGCUUCUAAAAUGCAGUGUAACGAGUUUCUUGCACCAUUAACCUCAAUUGGAUAAGAGUACAGCCCCUUUGGACUGCGGUUGCACUUCCUUCUGAGAUACCGGCUAAGCUGUGAUCCUUUGAUCCUCAAAUCCAACCAAGUCUCUGGUGCCAAGAUCACUUUUGAUUCCUUGUGACUCUCCAAAUUCCCGUAUGUAAUCAAUUUCUUCUGCAAUAAUGGUCAUGUAGAAGUUUCCUCUGAAGAAGGGAUAGCUCUCACCAACUAAUAUCAUUGCAGACUUGUAGUUCUGUGUGAAGAUAACAAUAUACUCUUCAUCAGGUAACCCACAGUGCUUCAAAAUUUUGUUUUGAGCUUGGAUUUCAGGCAUUGAGAUGAAACUCCCUGGAAAUGAGGUUUUCUUGGCAAGGAUAUCAGGCAACCUUGAUGGCUCUAACUGGGUUUUAUCCAAAUCAGGAAUAUUGCUUCCAAAGAAGAGUGUAGAGACCUCUCUAGAACCAUCCCUAGCCAACUUUGGCAUGUCAGCUGAUGCAUCCCCUGAGCUAUUUUCUUGAAUACAAAAAGGAGAAAUCUAUCUUUCCUCCAACUACAGUACUAAGGUAUUGAGGGUACAUUUUUUAGAUAUACUGUUCAACUUAUUCCAUUUCUCUUGGUGUGAUCGGACCUGACCAUCUGAGGUCAAGAACAUGGAGUUUUGAUACGACUUCUGCUACAAUAUGUGCAGAAAUUAUGGCAUGUGCUUUCUGCACAGUCCCAAAUUUAGUCAAACAA